rnacentral:rRNA from 1 species
UACGGAGGGUGCAAGCGUUAUCCGGAUUCACUGGGUUUAAAGGGUGCGUAGGUGGGCAGAUAAGUCAGUGGUGAAAUCUCUGGGCUUAACCCGGAAACUGCCAUUGAUACUAUAGGUCUUGAAUUCUCUGGAGGUAAGCGGAAUAUGUCAUGUAGCGGUGAAAUGCUUAGAUAUGACAUAGAACACCCAUUGCGAAGGCAGCUUACUACGGAGACAUUGACGCUGAGGCUCGAAGGCGUGGGGAUCAAACAGG